UCGGAUUCGACUUCUGUCUUCAAUAUAGUUCUCUAGAUUGUUAAAUUUAUUACUUUUCGAUUAAUUAUAUUUUCAGGAUGGUUGUACCUAGCGACAAAUAUUUCCCUGCCACUAUGUCAUGCCAAGUGCACAAGAUCGGCAGUCUUAUUAAGGAUAAACUGACCAAGGAACAGCUGCAAAUGUUCGACAAAACAAUUUUUGGUCCAUUGCUGAAUGUGAACAUGGUCUUCAACGACGAGUUGAUCUAUCAUUUCUUGCUGAGGCAGAUACCUGAAGACGGUAACGCAGAUGAAAUCUGUUUCUCAGUUUUGGGGAAGAACGUCCGUUUUACCCAAAAGGAAUUCAACAUCAUAACUGGAUUGUGGCCAACAAACAAUCUAUUGGAGAAAGAUUGCGAUAGCAAGCGCCUACAAAGUCUUCUAUUCGGAUCAGAAAAUAAGAAACUAAUAACAUGCUUGGAAAUUGAGGAAAUUUUCAAGAAUUUUGAGUUUACAAAUGAUGACGAUGCUGUGAAGGUUGCCUUGGUUGUCUUUAUAGAAACUGUGAUGGUCGGGAAGGAUAAGAAAACACAGUAUGACAUGGAUAUUUUGGGAAGAGUUGAUGAUGAAGAAGCAUUUAAAAGCUUCGAUUGGUCAACUUUCUUCUACACUCGUCUGCUCAACAGUUUAAAGACAAGUCUCUAAGGGAAAAAAGAAGGAUACGAGCUGAAGAAAACAACAAGUUCCAAAGCAGUGUCAUACUACAACAUCAAAGGCUACGUGCUUGCUUUUCAGAUGUGGGCUUAUGAAGUACUCUCAACUGCAAAUGAGCACCUGGCCACAAGAAACAUUAAGGGAUUGAUCCCUAGGAUAUUGAGAUGGAAUUGUACGCAAGCUCCAUCUUACAAAAUGCUACAGAAGAACAUAUUCGACAACAAAAAUACUGUUGUUCAACCUAAACUGAAGAUGUCAACCCAAGAGAAGGCUUUCAUGGAGAGUCGAAUUCGAAGGGAUGAUAACAUGCAAAUGGAGGACGAUGAAUCCAUUGGAGCAAUGAACAACAAAUCAUUGGAGCAAUCAGACUCAUCUCUACAAAGAGAACAACUGUCACCCCAAAGAGAACAAAGUCAGACAGUGGCUGACCAGUCUGAAAUGCAUCCAAUCACCAAGAAGAAACAUUGCAGAUCAAAGAAGUCCAAUGACAAAGAAGAACAAAGUCAUUCAAAAUCCUACAAAAAACUGAAGAAGGAAAUAAAAGAAGUUCGUAAGGAUUUAUCCACACUGACUUCUAUAGUCUGGAUGGAUGACACAAUCACAAAACAGUCAUUGGAGCUGUAUGAAAUGAAGCAGAUGCUCGAGAGAUUGGUUCAGAAUGAAACUGAAAAUCAAGGGAAUGAUCAUAUUCAUCAGAAUGACAAUGAGUAUGUUGUUCAAGAACAACAUACUGAACAUCAAGAGGAAAUUCAAAGGUUAACAUUUCAUUCAUUGUUUACUAGUUUAUAAAUACCUAACAAUUUAGAAAGAAACAUACCUGCCACAAAUGAUUACUACCCUUUCACUUGUGAGCCAACCUCUUGCACUUUGUGAAUUGACUCCAUUAGAUCAAACUGUACAAAUUGUAAAUGAAGAAUCUCAACUGGUAUGUAUACACAACAAAUUUGUAGUCGUUUGAAUUAAUAGUUUGUUACUUGUUUAAUACGAUUACAUUGUAGGAAACAAGAAAAAAGCAGGUUGAGAUUAAAAAAAAAUGAUGAAACAGUUACUUUGGUUGAAAAAGAACUAGUAACUGUGCCUGAUAAAGAUGAACAAGAAAAACCAAUAAAGAGAAGAAAAUUAUGUAAAAUAGAAAAUAAAAAGGUGCAAGAUGAAGAUGAACAAGGUAAUCCACCCACAACAUCUACUAAGAUCAUAUCAGAAUCUACAAUACCUGUCCCAGAUGUGGAAAUCAGAGAAGUAGAUAGAUAUAAUCCGAUGUGGCAAGUGGAUCCAAAAUUAUGGAAGGAAUACUUACAAUGGAAAAGAUCAAGAAAAACAACCCAUGAACAAAGGAAAGUAGUCUCCACAACCAGAAAGAAAGACUUUUUCAGACAGCUUGAAGAAAACACAUGGGUACAUGAAGACACAUUGGAUUUGCUAUUAUCCCACUUGCAGAAUAAAAUGUUGCAUCUCAAGCACCUUUGCAAGCGUUCUUUUAGAAUAUUACAUUCCUCGUUUCUAACCCAACAGCACACCUAACUAUAUGGACAGAAAAAGAUGUGGAAUACUAUUUCAACACAGCUGUUGGUGAUUACGACCAAAUACCAGGGUGGGGAGAUGUCAACUACGUGAUUAGCUGCAUCAACAUAAAAGAACACUGGUUGACUAUUGCAGCUGAUAUGAGAAAAUGCAAGAUCUACGUGUUCGACUCAAUGUCAAAUUAUGUUGAGCAGAAACUUGUUGAUGAAGCUCUUCAAAUGCCUGCACGAUGCAUCGCCUCACUCGCAAUUGCAAUUGAAGUCAACCUCCAUUCAGAUCAUUUCACAUAUGCCCCUUGGUCAAUACGCAGAUCAAACGCCACAUUACAGAAAGGGCGUUCAUUGGAUUGAGGAAUUUUCUGUUCUAAAUUUGUUGAAUGCCUUGUAACUGGUAGUGACCUUGGUUGUCUAACUGUGCCAAACAUGAAACUGUUUAGACAACAAUAUGUCUUGGAACUUUGGGCGAAUAAAUACUUUUGGUAAAUAAAAAAAUAUAUAUUUGGUUCUUGUA